rnacentral:rRNA from 1 species
GGCGGCGUGCCUAACACAUGCAAGUCGAGCGAGAAAGUGGAGCAAUCCAUGAAGUACAGCGGCGCACGGGUGAGUAACACGUGACUAACCUACCCUCGAGUGGGGAAUAACUUCGGGAAACCGAGGCUAAUACCGCAUAACACCCACGGGUCAAAGGAGCAAUCCGCUUGAGGAGGGGGUCGCGGCCGAUUAGUUAGCUGGCGGGGUAACGGCCCACCAAGACGAUGAUCGGUAUCCGGCCUGAGAGGGCGCACGGACACACUGGAACUGAAACACGGUCCAGACUCCUACGGGAGGCAGCAGUGGGGAAUUUUGCGCAGUGGGGGAAACCCUGACGCAGCAACGCCGCGUGGAGGAUGAAGUCCUUCGGGACGUAAACUCCUUUCGAUCGGGACGAUGAUGACGGUACCGAGAGAAGAAGCCCCGGCUAACUUCGUGCCAGCAGCCGCGGUAAUACGAGGGGGGCGAGCGUUGUUCGGAAUUAUUGGGCGUAAAGGGUGCGUA